CAGUAUCCCUACCCAUUAUAAAAUGAUCAAAUGUUGUUCUAUACAAUACAUCAAAAGAAGAAAAUAUGGCUGCUAUUCUCAAGAUUGUUUAUCUUGUGGUUCUAUUUCUUUUCAUAUUUCUUGUUGCAAUGAACAUUGACGCAUUGGAGGAAUGUAUUCGUGAUUCUGACUGUCCAAGGUGUGGUCCUCACUGUACUAAGAGGUGUUUCAAUUUUAAGUGUAGAUGUCUCAUCCCAAGUGCACUUUGACUACCGAAUCCAAGAGAGAAUAGUUUGUCUUAAAUAAAUGAAUCAAUUUGUACUUCAAAAAAAAAUCUAUGUAACAUUGAUUCCUUUAAAAUAUUUCUCAAUUAUCAUUUUAUUUAUUAGAGUAACAAA